ACUGCCUUCUUUCUCUUACGUUCUCUCUCUCCCUCUCAAAUAAAUUCAGUUGUUUCUUCUUCUUCAUCCCCCUCUCUCUCUCUCUCUAAAACUAAAUAGAAAUGAACUUCUUCAUUCCUCUCUCUCUCUCUCUCUCAUCACCCAUCCAAUUCUUGCAAAACACGCUUUUCACCACGUUCUAUUACCCCUAAACCCUAAUUCCAAAAUCUGUCGCACCCUCCAAUCUCUCAUAUCUUCCUCCGCACUCUUCAUUCGAACCCUAAAUUUAUCAUCUUCUGAGUCUCUCUCACUGAAGAUCAUCGGCGACAGACUUCAAUCCAAGCUUUCAGUCAUCAUUCUAUCGAAAUUGACGGAUAAUCCUUUGAGUUUAAGGGUCUUCAAGGGUUCAUACGGAUCUUCAAUCAUUCAUAAGAAUCUUCAAUCAUUCAUACGCAUCUAUUUGGUCUGGAGCCUUCGAGAGAGAUUCUGGAAUUCCCAUUACUAAAUUACUAAUUUCGAUUACAAAUUUACAAUACAAAUUAUAUUGGUUCGGCUUCAAUCAAUCUGUAUUUAAAGGAACACCAAAAUGUUUAAAGAAUUAUAGAGCUGCAGCUCAUUUCCUUAGUGAUGAUCCAGUUGAUGUUGCUAUAACAUAUGUGAUCAAGAAAUUAAUAGCAUCUCAACAGGGGAUAAACUCAGAUUGUAAGUGUGUCUUUUAAAAAGGGGUUUGUAAAUGUGUGGCUUCUUCUUCGGCUUAACAGGACUUGUAAUUACACAUUUGGCAAACUGACGAUGCUGGUGGUGAUGGAAGACGUCCACUUCCUUCUACUUGAGCCGAAACUGAUUUUGGAUUUGAAAAUGGACCCGGUGAACCAAGCUUUUGGGAAGAGCUUCCAUGUGGAGUUUACAGCUUGUCCAUGAAUGCUUCAAAAAUGGAGUAGAUUUCGUCACUUAAAAUGCUCAAAGACAAUGGACCCGGUGAACCAAGCUUUUGGCAAGAGCAACGGGGUAAGGAGUAGAUUUCGUCACUUAAAAUGCUUAUAAACUUUUAGUCAGUUUCAUACUGGUCACAAACUAAUCAUGUGUUUGACCAUUGUUUUUAUUGUCUCCAAUUUUUUUUUGUUCUUAGUUAAUGUGUUUAUUUUUGUCAAAUUCACCAUGCAAAAUUCUUCGCCGUUUACCGGCUAAUAUGUUGGCUUUUUUGUGUCAGAUAUUUCUUCUGAACUACUUUAGCCUUUAGGGUUUUAAAUAACUAUAUGUAUUUUAAAUAACUAUUGGUAUACUUAUUAUCAGUAAACAUAUGGGGCAAGGGGAAUGGCAUAAACAUAAGGAAGAGUAUGAAGAUAGAAUUGUUAGAUAUGGUGCCAAGUGACAGGGUGUAGAAAGAUUAAGUUUUACUGUUUUUUUUUUUUUGUGUGUGUGUGUGUGUGGGUGGGAAACUGAGAUGUAAGGGUCUGUCAUUAAUUGCAUGAGUAGUGGGAAAUUCGAAUGUGAGUUGUUGCAUAUCAGGUCAGGUGGUCUAUUAAUGAGAGAGACUUGGGUGAGGAUCAUAGUUGUGGAUAGCGAAUAGCGACAAGGCAUGGCUAGGCUACGUAGCGAAUAGCGACACAUAGCGACGGCUAGGGACCAAAUCCAAAAUUUUAGUAAACCACAUAGACCAUCCGUGUACUUUACUCCAUUUACCAGUUAUUUUUGAACUUUUUAUAAGGCACCAUUAGGGAAGAAAUGUUAUGUUGCAGGAGGAUAUUGAGACCAAACAAGCUCUUGGUGUAGAUGUUUACCGAUUCUCUAUAUCAUGGGCAAGAGUUCUUCCGAGAGGAAGAUUUGGUGAGAUAAUCCAAAUGGGAUUUUGUUCUAUAACAAAAUAUUGGAUGAUCUUUUACUGAGAGAUUGAAUCGAGCCAGAUGGGUUGACCUGAAUUUCCUUUUAUUUUUGUAAAAAAAAAUUGAAUAUUUAUUAACAAUGAGUGCGUCAAGAACUUCAAGACCGAUAUGGGUCUUGACUCAGCCCAUUAAUGUAGGAAGAUUAUGUCCACUUUGCAUAAACACGCUUCAAGAACUUUGGUGACAGAGUAAAGCAUUGGAUCACUAUCAAUGAGCCAAAUUUAUUUACACAAAUGGCCUAUAAAAAUGGAAAGUAUCCUCCCGCCCGUUGUUCACCGCCUUUGGGCAAUUGCUCAGCUGGAAAUUCGGACAUCGAGCCUCUAAUUGUUGUGCAUAACAUGUUAUAAGCACAUGGAAAGGCUAUGAAGAUAUACCGAAGAGAUUAUCA